rnacentral:rRNA from 1 species
AUGGCAGAAGCUUUAGCCCUCAAAUUUGGACUAACACUAGCGCAAAGGACAGGGUGCAAUCGCCUAAUCAUCAACUCAGAUAAUCUAGAGGUGAUUGAGACCAUUCAAGAUGGAGGACAGUCAACAGCGGCAAUUUUCGAUGACUGCUUCCACUACGCAUGUGAUUAUAUUAUGACUAGAUUCGAACAUUGUAAUAGAGAGGCAAAUAGAGUAGCACAUGAACUUGCUAGAUUAGCUAGAUUUUCUUCAACUUCAGAUUGGUUUGAGGAGCCUAUCAAUGAAAUUGUACUCAUCCUCACAAACGAUGUAUUGGUUAUUUCUAAUGAAUAA